AGUAUAUUUUAUGCAUGCAAUGGUGUUUUAUAUAUGCAUUAUAAAUAAAUUUAGUUUUCAAAUAUGAUGUCUGUUGUGGUUUUAGGAUUGGAUGAAUGUGUGUGUGUAAUGCAUCCAUUUGGUUUAUAAUCAAUAAAUUUGAUGGAUUUUUAUAUAUAAUUGCAUUUGAUAAACUAUUUAUUGAAGGAUGAUAAGAUGGAAAUACAUAAAUGAGCAGGGAAGGUAUGGGGUU
rnacentral:lncRNA from 1 species